AGAAAUAGGAUCAAAGAAAUUGGAAUGAAUGAAGAGUUAAUGCAGUUAGAGUACUUCAUUUAAUGCUAGUUUGUUGUUAAAUAAUUUCUCAAUGAAAGUUUCAUAAUCCGAGUGGACAAGCUAACCCAUUGUGGGCUCUUUAAUGACGUGGUUAGAGCAUCUUUCUAAAGGACUUGGAUGUGAACCAAGAAUUUUAUCGUAAUUUCUAACAGGUCAAACUCCGUUCUCUCAUGACUGAACCUGCAAUUUUAUCCUUGUUCUGCAUUUCUUAUUCUAUUGUUUACAGUUCUAUCAUUUGCAUGGAGUUGGCAGCUCAAUGCUGUGGCAUUUCUGCUAGGAACUCGUGCUUGCAAGUUGGAUCUGGUGUCAGUACUAAUGAUUCAACUGAACAAUGUAGAGUUCCUCCUUGUUAGGGAUUGGUAUCGGUAGAAGGGACAACAGACAUUUUUUUCCCCUUAUCUAUAUUAGGAAAUUGUUGGUUGUCUUUGAAGACUCCUAGUCAUAUGUGUUUUCAGUAGCAUGUCUCUUGAUAUUGUGCUUGAAGUAGUCAGUCAUCUUUAAUGCUUAGUUCUCUCUUUCCCGAUCAAAUUCAUGGGGUUUAGGUUGCAGAUGCAAAGCUGUGUCUUAACCCUUACAGGCUUUUACCCCCAAGUGAGUUGGAUUCCUUUCUUGGAAAUGGAUCAUAAUGCUUGGCAUGCGUUUUCUACCAAAUGCAGAAAAAAUUGUAAAUGUGCACUUUAACUUAAGAGGUCUAAUGCCUACUUGCAACAUACCGAAAUGGAUGAAAUGCAGACCCAUGGGCCAUGCUACGAAAUCUCCUAAUCUUAUGAACAUAUAAGAUAUUAACAUUGAAUGUAGUGUCAUUAUUUUGUGAUACCUGAGAGACACCUUCUUGGAUCUCUGUAUUAGAAAGACUACGGAGUCCACUUGAAGAUAACCUUUAGGGAUAUAGACAUCCGUAGGUUUGACUUUAGGCAUCGUUGUAGAGGGUAGCCUUUCAUAUCUCUUGAAUGUUGGUACAGUCCAAGUUCUUGAUGCCGCAUCUUAUAUACUGUGAUAAUUUUUUGAAGGGGAAUGGCGAGGCACUGUAAUUACCUUGGGGACUUAUUGCUGGCGUUGUCCUUCAGUUUACCUUGUGGGAUAAGUUCAGCGGUUCCUUAUUUUUACCCUAUUUAUCUUCUUAUUCUGCUAAUAUGGAGAGAGAGAAGAGAUGAAGUUCGCUGUGCAGAGAAGUAUAGAGAAAUAUGGGCAGAAUACUGUAGACUUGUUCCAUGGAGAAUAUUACCAUAUGCUUAUUAGCAAAAAGGUUGUGGAAUAUCUGCUGGGAGGCUUUCAGUUCUGCUGGGGGAGGGAAUUUUUGCCCUUGGGUUUCCCAUCACCAAUUCUCUAUAAUCCACAUGAUUUUCAAAACUUUACAAAGACACCCAAAAUCUAAUUGCCGUUUAUGAUCUGUCAUAAUUCAAUAUGUUUGAGCAAAAUUUAUACUAGCUCAAAAUAAGAUGGUGGAUUGUAUUCCCGCUUAAUUAUAAAAAGUAUAAGACUAUGAAUGGAGUAUAUGUUGGAAACAUAGACAAAAUAGUACAGCGACACUAAUUGAUGGUUUCUAUAUA